GUAAGAAGGUAAACCACUGUCAUCACCUAUCGUGAAGGGAAAUAUUUUUUCAUAAGUGCUUUAAGGCGUUUUUCGAUGUUGUCUAAUAUCCCUGGGGAUAAUGCGGAGAAUUUCUUUUGUACUUCUUUGUUCGUCAGUGUGAGGAAUAUUCCAAGACUCAAAGCUAUCAACGGAUAUCCUCGAAACAUGGAAAAUUGUUGGCCUAUAAGCUGAUGAGGGAGAAGGCGAGAGGACUGUUUCUACCCGAUGUUUGCUGUCUAAAACUGCCCCCAAACAUGCACUCAAUGUCUUAGAAUGCCCCACCCUCUCCUACCCUCCACUCACCGCCACACCAGCCAGAUGGCGCGAAGCGAGCGUGAGGACAUAGCCAAGUCUCUUCAUGAAGGGGAAUAUCCUGAAGGCGUGGAGCGUCCUGACCAUCAACAGGAAGACCAUCAGCGAAUACAGAAAUGCAAAGAGGAGUUCCCCGCCUGUGGUUACCUUGCAUAUCUUGCAGAGAACGCCAAGGGCUGUCUUAACAUAGCUGCUUUGGAAGGAAUGCACGGUCACACGACUUUCAAGCUCCCCUACUAAUGAUGUCGUUAACUCCCAUGAUACAGUGCUGCACAAAAAAGAAGAUACAUGUGAUCAAUGACACGAGCGGACUUGGCACAAAGCUAGAAGGUAAAUUUGUGGUACGAGUCAAUAUUCGAGAACUUACCUAGACAUAUUAUUGGUAGGUGUGAACAGGCUGAACUGAACAAUGAUCUGUUGGAUGCAGGGCGUGAGGGAUCUCAGCAUUUUCUUCAUGUCCAUAUGUGCGUGAGACCUUCAAACGAGACGAAAAAUAAAUGUAAAAAAGGACCAUCACCUAUAUGUCUCCCGUCGCACCGAAGUUGGACACCAACUGCAAAACGAAAUUAACGCCACACUUUGACAGGAAUAAAUGUUAACUAAAAACAAAA